rnacentral:rRNA from 1 species
GAUGAACGCUGGCGGCGUGCCUAAUACAUGCAAGUCGAGCGAACGGACGAGAAGCUUGCUUCUCUGAUGUUAGCGGCGGACGGGUGAGUAACACGUGGAUAACCUACCUAUAAGACUGGGAUAACUUCGGGAAACCGUAGCUAAUACCGGAUAAUAUUUUGAACCGCAUGGUUCAAAAGUGAAAGACGGUCUUGCUGUCACUUAUAGAUGGAUCCGCGCUGCAUUAGCUAGUUGGUAAGGUAACGGCUUACCAAGGCAACGAUGCAUAGCCGACCUGAGAGGGUGAUCGGCCACACGGGAGCUGAGACACGGUCCAGACUCCUACGGGAGGCAGCAGUAGGGAAUCUUCCGCAAUGGGCGAAAGCCUGACGGAGCAACGCCGCGUGAGUGAUGAAGGUCUUCGGAGCGUAAAACUCUGUUAUUAGGGAAGAACAUAUGUGUAAGGAACUGUGCACAUCUUGACGGUACCUAAUCAGAAAGCAACGGCUAACUACGUG